rnacentral:rRNA from 1 species
UCUUCAGGGGGCGCAGCCUACCAUGCAAGUCGAACGGUAACAGGAAGCAGCUUGCUGCUUCGCUGACGAGUGGCGGACGGGUGAGUAAUGUCUGGGAAACUGCCUGAUGGAGGGGGAUAACUACUGGAAACGGUAGCUAAUACCGCAUAACGUCGCAAGACCAAAGAGGGGGACCUUCGGGCCUCUUGCCAUCGGAUGUGCCCAGAUGGGAUUAGCUAGUAGGUGGGGUAACGGCUCACCUAGGCGACGAUCCCUAGCUGGUCUGAGAGGAUGACCAGCCACACUGGAACUGAGACACGGUCCAGACUCCUACGGGAGGCAGCAGUGGGGAAUAUUGCACAAUGGGCGCAAGCCUGAUGCAGCCAUGCCGCGUGUAUGAAGAAGGCCUU